rnacentral:snoRNA from 1 species
CCCUCUUAGGGUUCGUAAGCAUGAUGACCGAGGUUUUGUGCUAUUGUGUGAGAUUGCUCCUCCUUCAAAUCUUCUUAUGACAUUAGCACAUUACCUGGUCU